UACAGAGGUCCCAAGCGUUGUUCGGAUUCAUUGGGCGUAAAGGGUGCGUAGGUGGCGUCGUAAGUCGGGUGUGAAAUCUCGGGGCUUAACUCCGAAACUGCAUUUGAUACUGCGGUGCUUGAGGACUGGAGAGGAGACUGGAAUUUACGGUGUAGCAGUGAAAUGCGUAGAGAUCGUAAGGAAGACCAGUGGCGAAGGCGGGUCUCUGGACAGGUUCCUGACACUGAGGCACGAAGGCCAGGGGAGCAAACGGG
rnacentral:rRNA from 1 species